UGAACGCUGGCGGUCUGCUUAACACAUGCAAGUCGAACGAACUCUUCGGAGUGAGUGGCGGACGGGUGAGUAACGCGUGAGAAUCUGGCUGUGGGUCGGGGACAACCACUGGAAACGGUGGCUAAUACCGGAUGAGCCGAAAGGUAAAGAUUUAUUGCCCACAGAUGAGCUCGCGUCUGAUUUAACGACGUUAGGUUAAGGGUAAAAGGUA
rnacentral:rRNA from 1 species